rnacentral:rRNA from 1 species
GAUGAACGCUAGCGGCAGGCUUAACACAUGCAAGUCGAGGGGCAGCACGUCUUCGGAUGGUGGCGACCGGCGCACGGGUGCGUAACGCGUAUACAAUCUACCUUUUACAGGGGCAUAGCCCGGGGAAACCCGGAUUAAUAUCCCAUGGUACCAUGAUAUGGCAUCAUAUUAUGGUUAAAGCUUCGGCGGUGAAAGAUGAGUAUGCGUUCUAUUAGCUGGAUGGUAAGGUAACGGCUUACCAUGGCUUUGAUAGAUAGGGGGUCCUGAGAGGGAGAUCCCCCACACUGGUACUGAGACACGGACCAGACUCCUACGGGAGGCAGCAGUGAGGAAUAUUGGACAAUGGGCGAGAGCCUGAUCCAGCCAUGCCGCGUGCAGGAAGACGGCCCUAUGGGUCGUAAACUGCUUUUAUACGGGAAGAAACACUCCCUCGUGAGGGAGCUUGACGGUACCGUAUGAAUAAGGAUCGGCUAACUCCGUGCCAGCAGCCGAC